GAUGAACGCUAGCUACAGGCUUAACACAUGCAAGUCGAGGGGUAACGAGAGGGAAGCUUGCUUUCCUUGUCGACGACCGGCGCACGGGUGAGUAACGCGUAUCCAACCUGCCCCCAACUAGGGAAUAACCUUGCGAAAGUAAGACUAAUACCCUAUAAUUUCCUCAGAUGUCAUCUGACGAGGAAUAAAGAUUUAUCGGUUGUGGAUGGGGAUGCGUCUGAUUAGCUUGUUGGCGGGGUAACGGCCCAACAAGGCAACGAUCAGUAGGGGUUUUGAGAGGAAGGUCCCCCACAGUGGAACUGAGACACGGUCCAAACUCCUACGGGAGGCAGCAGUGAGGAAUAUUGGUCAAUGGGCGGAAGCCUGAACCAGCCAAGUAGCGUGCAGGAUGACGGCCCUAUGGGUUGUAAACUGCUUUUAUACAGGAAUAAAGUUAGCCACGUGUGGUUAUUUGUAGGUACUGUAUGAAUAAGGACCGGCUAAUUCCGUGCCAGCAGCCGCCGUAA
rnacentral:rRNA from 1 species